AUUGAACGCUGGCGGCAGGCCUAACACAUGCAAGUCUAACGAGUGGCGGACGGGUGAGUAAUGUCUGGGAAACUGCCUGAUGGAGGGGGAUAACUACUGGAAACGGUAGCUAAUACCGCAUACCAUCAGAUGUGCCCAGAUGGGAUUAGCUAGUUGGUGGGGUAACGGCUCACCAAGACGACGAUCCCUAGAUGGUCUGAGAGGAUGACCAGACACACUGGAACUGAGACACGGUACAGACUCCUACGGGCGGCAGCAGUGGGGAAUAUUGCACAAUGGGCGCAAGCCUGAUGCAGCCAUGCCGCGUGUAUGAAGAAGGCCUUCGGGUUGUAAAGUACUUUAAGCGGGGAGGCGUUACCAGAAGAAGAAGCACCGGCUAACUCCGUGCCAGCAGCCGCGGUAAUUC
rnacentral:rRNA from 1 species